rnacentral:rRNA from 1 species
GACGAACGCUGGCGGCGUGCUUAACACAUGCAAGUCGAACGGAAAGGCCUGCUUUCCCUUGUGGAUUGCGGGUACUCGAGUGGCGAACGGGUGAGUAACACGUGAGUGAUCUGCCCCCAACCUGGGUAUAAGCCUGGGAAACUGGGUCUAAUUCCCGAUAGGACUGCAGGGUGGUGCCUGUGGUGGAAAACGAUUUUCUAGUGGUUGGGGAUGAGCUCGCGGCCUAUCAGCUUGUUGGUGGGGUAAUGGCCUACCAAGGCGGCGACGGGUAGCCGGCCUGAGAGGGUGGACGGCCACAGUGGGACUGAGAUACGGCCCAGACUCCUACGGGAGGCAGCAGUGGGGAAUACUGCACAAUGGGCGGAAGCCUGAUGCAGCGACGCCGCGUGGGGGAUGACGGCCUUCGGGUGGUAAACUCCUUUCGACCGCGAGGAAGCCACCUGGUUGGAAGGGUGGUGACGGUAGUGGUAGAAGAAGCACCGGCUAACUACGUG